rnacentral:rRNA from 1 species
UACGUAGGGUGCAAGCGUUGUCCGGAAUUAUUGGGCGUAAAGAGCUCGUAGGCGGUCUGUCGCGUCUGCUGUGAAAACUCGGGGCUUAACCCCGGGCUGCAGUGGGUACGGGCAGACUAGAGUGCGGUAGGGGGAGGCUGGAAUUCCUGGUGUAGCGGUGAAAUGCGCAGAUAUCAGGAGGAACACCGGUGGCGAAGGCGGGUCUCUGGGCCGUAACUGACGCUGAGGCACGAAAGCGUGGGUAGCAAACAGG